rnacentral:rRNA from 1 species
GAUGAACGCUGGCGGCGUGCCUAAUACAUGCAAGUCGAGCGAACGGACGAGAAGCUUGCUUUUCUGAUGUUAGCGGCGGACGGGUGAGUAACACGUGGAUAACCUACCUAUAAGACUGGGAUAACUUCGGGAAACCGGAGCUAAUACCGGAUAAUAUUUUGAACCGCAUGGUUCAAAAGUGAAAGACGGUCUUGCUGUCACUUAUAGAUGGAUCCGCGCUGCAUUAGCUAGUUGGUAAGGUAACGGCUUACCAAGGCAACGAUGCAUAGCCGACCUGAGAGGGUGAUCGGCCACACUGGAACUGAGACACGGUCCAGACUCCGACGGGAGGCAGCAGUAGGGAAUCUUCCGCAAUGGGCGAAAGCCUGACGGAGCAACGCCGCGUGAGUGAUGAAGGUCUUCGGAUCGUAAAACUCUGUUAUUAGGGAAGAACAUAUGUGUAAGUAACUGUGCACAUCUUGACGGUACCUAAUCAGAAAGCCACGGAUAACUACGU